rnacentral:rRNA from 1 species
UACGUAGGGGGCAAGCGUUGUCCGGAUUUAUUGGGCGUAAAGAGCGUGUAGGCGGCCAGACAGGUCAGCUGUGAAAACUCGAGGCUCAACCUCGAGACGUCGGUUGAAACCGUCUGGCUAGAGUCCGGAAGAGGAGAGUGGAAUUCCUGGUGUAGCGGUGAAAUGCGCAGAUAUCAGGAAGAACACCUAUGGCGAAGGCAGCUCUCUGGGACGGUACUGACGCUGAGACGCGAAAGCGUGGGGAGCGAACAGG